AGUUUGAUUAUGGCUCAGAUUGAACGCUGGCGGGAUGCUUUACACAUGCAAGUCGAACGGCAGCACGGACUUCGGUCUGGUGGCGAGUGGCGAACGGGUGAGUAAUGUAUCGGAACGUGCCUAGUAGCGGGGGAUAACUACGCGAAAGGGGUAGAAGCACACCGCAUAUUCUUCGGGGGAAAGCGGGGACCUUCGGGCCUCGCACUAUUAGGAGCGGCCGAUAUCGGAUUAGCUAGUUGGUGGGGCAACGGCUCACCAAGGCGUGCGACGAUCCGUAGCUGGUUUGAGAGGACGACCAGCCACACUGGGACUGAGACACGGCCCAGACUCCUACGGAGGCAGCAGUGGGGAAUUCUGAAUGGGGGAAACCCUGAUCCAGCCAUCCCGCGUGUGCGAUGAAGGCCUUCGGGUUGUAAAGCACUUUGGCAGGAGGUAAAAGAAACGGCACGGGAUAAUACCCCGUGCAACUGACGGUACCUGCAGAAUAAGCACUGGCUAACUACGUGCCAGCAGCCGCGGUAAUACGUAGGUGCAAGCGUUAAUCGGAAUUACUGGGCGCAAAGCGUGCGCAGGCGGUUCGGAAAAGAAAGAUGUGAAAUCUCAGAGCUUAACUUUGGAACUGCAUUUUUAACUACCGAGCUAGAGUGUACGAGGGAGGUGGAAUUAUGUAGCAGUGAAAUGCGUAGAUAUGCGGAGGAACACCGAUGGCGAAGGCAGCCUCCUGGGAUAACACUGACGCUCAUGCACGAAAGCGUGGGAGCAAACAGGAUUAGAUACCCUGGUAGUCCACGCCCUAAACGAUGUCAACUAGCUGUUGGGGCCUUCGGGCCUUGGUAGCGCAGCUAACGCGUGAAGUUGACCGCCUGGGGAGUACGGUCGCAAGAUUAAAACUCAAAGGAAUUGACGGGACCCGCACAAGCGGUGUGGAUGAUGUGGAUUAAUUCGAUGCAACGCGAAAACCUUACCUACCCUUGACAUGUCUGGAAUCCCGAAGAGAUUUGGGAGUGCUCGCAAGAGAACUGGAACAUGGGUGUUGCAUGGCUGUCGUCAGCUCGUGUCGUGAGAUGUUGGGUUAAGUCCUGCAACGAGCGCAACCCUUUGUCAUUAGUUGCCACGAAAGGGCACUCUCCACGAGACUGCCGGUGACAAACCGAGGAAGGUGGGGAUGACGUCAAGUCCUCAUGGCCCUUAUGGGUAGGGCUUCACACGUCAUACAAUGGUCGGGACAGAGGGUCGCCAACCCGCGAGGGGGAGCCAAUCCCCAGAAACCCGAUCGUAGUCCGGAUCGCAGUCUGCAACUCGACUGCGUGAAGUCGGAAUCGCUAGUAAUCGCGGAUCAGCAUGUCGCGGUGAAUACGUUCCUCGGUCUUGUACACACCGCCCGUCACACCAUGGGAGUGGGUUUUACCAGAAGUAGUUAGCCUAACCGUAAGGAGGGCGAUUACCACGGUAGGAUUCAUGACUGGGGUGAAGUCGUAACAAGGUAG
rnacentral:rRNA from 1 species